rnacentral:tRNA from 1 species
GAGGAUAUAGCUCAAGUGGCAGAGUGCAUGCUUAGCAUGCGUGAGGUCCUGGGUUCAAUCCCCAGUGCGUUCU